GACGUAGGGCGCGAGCGUUGUCCGGAUUUAUUGGGCGUAAAGAGCUCGUAGGCGGCUUGUCGCGUCGACUGCGAAAACCCGCGGCUCAACCGUGUGGUCUGCAGUCGAUACGGGCAGGCUAGAGUUCGGUAGGGGAGACUGGAAUUCCCGGUGUAGCGGUGAAAUGCGCAGAUAUCAGGAGGAACACCGGUGGCGAAGGCGGGUCUCUGGGCCGAUACUGACGCUGAUGCGCGAAAGCUAGGGGAGCGAACGGG
rnacentral:rRNA from 1 species